rnacentral:rRNA from 1 species
AGAGUUUGAUCCUGGCUCAGGAUGAACGCUGGCGGCGUGCUUAACACAUGCAAGUCGAACGUGAAUUUCUCUUCGGAGAAAUGAAAGUGGCAAACGGGUGAGUAACACGUUGGUGACCUGCCCCCUGGCGGGGGAUAACCCUGGGAAACCAGGGCUAAUACCGCGGAUGUUUGGAUUUUUAGAAACUUCAAACUAAAACUGAGGUGCCAGGGGAGGGGCCUGCGGGCUAUCAGCUAGUUGGUGGGGUAAAGGCCUACCAAGGCGCAGACGGCUAGGGGGCGUGAGAGCGCGACCCCCCACAAGGGAACUGAGACACGGUCCCUACUCCUACGGGAGGCAGCAGUGAGGAAUAUUGCCCAAUGGAGGAAACUCUGAGGCAGCAACGCCGCGUGAACGAUGACGGCCUUCGGGUUGUAAAGUUCUUUUCUCAGGGAAGAUAAUGACGGUACCUGAGGAAUAAGUCCCGGCUAACUACGUGCCAGCAGCCGCGGUAAAACGUAGGGGACAAGCGUUAUCCGGAUUUACUGGGCGUAAAGCGCCCGUAGGCGGCUUUUUAAGUUGGACGUGAAAGCUCCCGGCUUAACUGGGAGAGGCCGUUCAAAACUGAGAAGCUCGAGUGAGGAAGAGGAGAGCAGAAUUCCCGGUGUAGUGGUGGAAUGCGUAGAGAUCGGGAGGAAUACCAGUGGCGAAAGCGGCUCUCUGGUCCUAAACUGACGCUGAGGGGCGAAAGCGUGGGGAGCGAACGGGAUUAGAUACCCCGGUAGUCCACGCCGUAAACGAUGGAGACUAGGUGUAGGUGGAUAGAACCCCAUCUGUGCCGAAGCCAACGCGUUAAGUCUCCCGCCUGGGGAGUACGGCCGCAAGGUUAAAACUCAAAUGAAUUGACGG